UACGUGAGGGUGCAAGCGUUUGUCCGGAAUUAUUGGGCGUAAAGAGCUCGUAGGCGGUUUGUUGCGUCGGCUGUGAAAUCCCGAGGCCUCAACCUCGGGUCUGCAGUCGAUACGAGCAAACUAGAGUGUUGGCAGGGGAGACUGGGAAUUCCUGGUGUAGCGGUGAAAAUGCGCAGAUAUCAGGAGGAACACCGGUGGCGAAGGCGGGUCUCUGGGCAACAACGUGACGC
rnacentral:rRNA from 1 species